GUACUUACCUGAACGGGGUCGACGACUGAUCAAGAAGAGUCGUGGCCUAGGCUAGUGGUCCACAUUGCAAUUGGUGGAUGCGCUGGCUUACCUUUGUGGUAGAGGGGUACGCGUCCGCGCGGCCCCUGC
rnacentral:snRNA from 1 species